CGGGGUGCAGCAGGCGCGAAAACUCUACAAUGCAGGCAACUGCGAUAGGGGGACAUCGAGUGGCAUCCACCUUGGGUGCCUGUCCAACCGUCUAAAAAACGGUUGUUAGCAAGGGCCGGGUAAGACCGGUGCCAGCCGCCGCGGUAAUACCGGCGGCUCGAGUGGUGGCCGAUAUUAUUGAGUCUAAAGGGUCCGUAGCCGGCUUUGCAAGUCCCCUGGGAAAUCCAGCGGCUUAACCGUUGGGCUUUCAUGGGAUACUACAUUGCUUGGGACUGGGAGAGGUAGGAGGUACUCGGGGGGUAGGGGUGAAAUCCUGUAAUCCUCCGGGGACCACCGGUGGCGAAGGCGUCCUACCAGAACAGGUCCGACGGUGAGGGACGAAAGCUAGGGGCACGAACCGGAUUAGAUACCCGGGUAGUCCUAGCCGUAAACGAUGCCCGCUAGGUGUCACGACGGUCGUGAAUCGUCGUGGUGCCGUAGGGAAGCCGCGAAGCGGGCCACUUGGGAAGUACGGCCGCAAGGCUGAAACUUAAAGGAAUUGGCGGGGGAGCACAAGGGCGAUUCGCG
rnacentral:rRNA from 1 species